rnacentral:rRNA from 1 species
UACGGAGGGUGCAAACGUUGCUCGGAAUCAUUGGGCGUAAAGCGCACGUAGGCGGUCCAGCAAGUCGGGUGUGAAAGCCCUCGGCUUAACCGAGGAAGUGCAUUCGAAACUACUGGACUUGAAUACUGGAGAGGGUUGCGGAAUUCCCGGUGUAGAGGUGAAAUUCGUAGAUAUCGGGAGGAACACCAGUGGCGAAGGCGGCAACCUGGACAGAUAUUGACGCUGAGGUGCGAAAGCGUGGGGAGCAAACAGGG